UACGAGGGGGGCUAGCGUUGCUCGGAAUCACUGGGCGUAAAGGGUGCGUAGGCGGGGCUUUAAGUCAGGGGUGAAAUCCUGGAGCUCAACUCCAGAACUGCCUUUGAUACUGAAGAUCUUGAGUUCGGGAGAGGUGAGUGGAACUGCGAGUGUAGAGGUGAAAUUCGUAGAUAUUCGCAAGAACACCAGUGGCGAAGGCGGCUCACUGGCCCGAUACUGACGCUGAGGCACGAAAGCUAGGGGAGCAAACGGG
rnacentral:rRNA from 1 species